UGGGAUGUGUCAGGUAGGCAGUGUAUUGCUAGCGGCUGUUAGUAAAAUUUUAACAGUUGCUAGUUGCACUCUCUGUUGCAUUCAGA
rnacentral:pre_miRNA from 1 species